rnacentral:tRNA from 1 species
GCGCCCGUAGCUCAGUUGGAUAGAGUGUUGCCCUCCGAAGGCAGAGGUCACAGGUUCAAGUCCUGUCGGGCGCGCCA